UUCUCAAGAUCGUUUUGAGAUCAUGGCUUCUCCAUAAUAUCUAAGUCAGUAGUACAUAGGAAGAGGGAGUUCAUGCUCGAAAAGAAGGGUCUUUCAAGAUCUAUUCUUUAAUAAUGCCAGUGAAAAAGAAGUCUACAAGCACCGGGAUAGAAGUCUUGGGAAUUCACUAUUGGAUGUGAGAGUUCAGAGAGAAAACGGAAAACCCUAGUUACUUGCAGGACAAGAUGAGAAAAACCCGCAAAUACAAUGACAACUAGAUAAGCAACAACAAAGAGUAUAGGAGAAAAAGAGCAUUUCCAGUGAGAGAGUGGAAAAGAAAGCAAAAGACAAGUGCAAUAAAUGGGGCUACAAGUGAAAAAGAAUGACUAUGACACAACCUUUAUAAUAAUACCCAAUACUGUAGCCAAGGUUAACUGUAAUAAUCUGUCCCACUAACAACUAUAUAUAUUCUGGGAUAUCAUAUACCUUUGUAUUUAUAACUAGUUUAUUUGUGGUAGUUCAAUGCAAACCUUCUUCUUCCUUCUCUUAAGCAAGGGUUUAGGAAUUGACCCAUUAGUUUAAGUAGUUCCUCAUAUAUAUUUCAGAAUAAGUGCAAAUUGGACAGAAAGUGAGCCAACGAUGAACAUACUCCUUAGCAUUUGUUACGCAGGUGUAAUGAAACAGAAGGUUGGUUUUAUUUUCA